GAGGGAUUCAAACUGAAUUUGCAUUCAGCCAAACUUAGCAUAAAUGUUACUGGCACUUAUUGCAAUGAAACCUGUCAGAGGUGGAAAGAUUUGUCACUGUGUCUGGCCAAGUGCAGGAGAAAGCUGAGUGAUGGGAACACAAAAAAGAAAAAGAAGUGGGAGUUUCAGAAGAAGAUAUCAGAAGGGAAAUGGGACCAUGUGCAGAAGAUGAAGUCAGAGCCAAAACAAAAUGAAAAGCUCUGAAGUGAUUCCAGAUGAAGCCAAACAGUUGGGAUUUUUUCAGUAAAUUAUAUUCCAGGCAAAGAACAACAAUCUCUGUUCUCACUGAAGGAGGCAUUCCUGAAACACCACAGUAGUGCU
rnacentral:lncRNA from 1 species